rnacentral:tRNA from 1 species
GGCGGCGUAGCUCAGCCCGGUUAGAGCGAGCGGCUCAUACCCGCUAUGUCACUGGUUCAAAUCCAGUCGCCGCUACUA